rnacentral:misc_RNA from 1 species
GAUGAAGAACGCAGCGAAAUGCGAUACGUAAUGUGAAUUGCAGAAUUCAGUGAAUCAUCGAAUCUUUGAACGCAUAUUGCGCUCUUUGGUAUUCCGAAGAGCAUGCUUGUUUGAGUAUCAGUAAACACCUCAAAGCUUUUGGAUUUUUUAAUCGAAAAGCUUUGGACUUGAGCAAUCCCAACACCAAUCUUUUUGAGAUCGGUGGCGGGUUGCUUGAAAUGCAGGUGCAGCUGGACAUUCUCCUGAGCUAAAAGCAUAUUCAUUUAGUCCCGUCAAACGGAUUAUUACUUUUGCUGCAGCUAACAUAAAGGGAGUUUGACCGUAUUGGCUGACUGAUGCAGGAUUUCACAAGGGUCGGCAACGAUUCUUGUUAAACUCGAUCUCAAAUCAAGUAAGACUACCCGCUGAACUUAAGCAUAUCAAUAAGCGGAGG